CUCCUCAAUCCCCCCCUGUACAAUAAAUAAUGAGCGGUCCCUAACCUGCAUAUAACAGAAACCUGGCAAAUUGUCUUACAUUGUUUUUAUCUGUCAAUGUUUAUCUUUAGAUGCAGAUGCAAUGGCAAAGUGGGCAUUUCAGAUGUAGUGUUCCAGCCCCUUCAACACAGCACCCCUAGGGCCCUUAUUUGAAGGAAAUUAGGAAACUGACCCAACAGGUUGAUUUCACUAAAUAGUAUAGCAGAUGAUGGUCCACUGGCAGUUAGGGACCGGUCAUUAUUUAUGGAAGGGGGGAGGGGAAUUUUUUCUUUCCUAAAUUUUUAAAAUUGAAAGCCCCCCCCCUUAAAAGAGCAGAAAUUUAAUGAUGACCCCCCUCUACAUAUUAGAAUAUUUUUCUUUGACCCCCCAUUUUCAUUUUUACUCGACAAAUGGGGAUACCCAGGCAUUAUAAUGUUAAUUAUUAAUUAAAUAAGAAUAUGGAGCUGACAAGAUAUUAACGUCGACCAAAAAUAUACAUUGGCAGAAAAUUAUAAAUAAAAGAGGGGUAUUUUCAUAUAUAACUCUAAAAUCAGGUUUCCAUUUGAUCUGGGCGAUUGUAACCAUGUUUAACGGCAGAGAAUUAAUGUUAGUGUUUGGAGGCAGGUGCCGUUUGUGGUCCAAGGUUGUAACUAGAUUUGAUGGCACAAAGUAUUGCCAUAGCAGCUGCAUAGCAAUGAGAGUAACAAUCAGUAAUAUUAGCAGCAAAAGGAGAUAGCCAUGACAAUUCUGGACAUUCUGCCAAGGCAUACCUCCGGCACCAAUCACACUGACAAGUCAGUGGAAACAAAAUAUAAUGUAUAGUGGUCUAUACAUCCUAUUUUAUGUGAGAUUAAAAAUUAUAUAAAAUAAAAUGACCUACUACCCAUGUUUAUUCUAGAGGAUUUUAUCUGGUGGGUGGGGUGUGUAGGAGAAAGGUAUCUAAGCACUACACUUGCUGCAGCUAGGCAAAGCAUACAAUGGCAGUAUGAAUACCCAGACCGAAGCACUGAUCACAAGGCGCAAAACAACCCCCUUUAAUCAAUAUGACGUCACAGACUCCCAUCAGUGGAUGUGGCCUGCAUAGUACAUUCGCCGUUAACCUUGCUUAAAUGUAUUUGACCACAUCAAGAUAGCUGAUGUAAUAAUACAUUGUCAAUUUAUCUCUGCAAUCAGUAAAGACUGAUUUGCAUACAGCACACAGAAGACAAGAUAAAUCCAGACUAUUUCACACCAGUCGCAAUUACAACAAAAUGGAUAACAUGCUUAUUAAGCAAAUUCCUUCAAAUUUAAUUGCAACCCCCCCCCUCAUUUUCUUCAAAAAUUUAA